AAUCAAGCGUUUAAGGGCGUGUAGUGGAUGCCUUGGCACUGAAAGCCGAUGAAGGACGUGAUAUACUGCGAUAAGUUUCGGGGAGCUGUAUGUAAGUUUUGAUCCGAAAAUUUCCGAAUGGGGAAACCCACCACUUUAUGUGGUACUUUAAACUGAAUACAUAGGUUUAAAGAGACAACCUGGAGAACUGAAACAUCUAAGUAACCAGAGGAAAAGAAAUCAAUUGAGAUUCCGUUAGUAGUGGCGAGCGAACGCGGACUAGGCCAGUAAUUUUGUUAAAAAAAUUUGAAUAGUUUGGAAAUGCUAACCAUAGAGGGUGAUAGUCCCGUAUGAGUAAUGUUUAACAAAAUUCUUGAGUAAAGCGGGACACGAGAAAUCCUGCUCGAAUAUAGGGGGACCACCCUCUAAGCCUAAAUACUCUUCAGUGACCGAUAGUGAACUAGUACCGUGAGGGAAAGGUGAAAAGAACCCCUAUUAGGGGAGUGAAAUAGAACCUGAAACUGCAUGCCUACAAUCAGUCGAAGCUCUUUUUAGAGUGACGGCGUACCUUUUGUAUAAUGGGUCAGUGACUUAAUUUAUUAAGCAAGCUUAAGCCAUCUAGGUGUAGGCGCAGCGAAAGCAAGUCUGAAUAGGGCGAUUAGUUUAAUGAAUUAGACCCGAAAACGAAUGAGCUUACCAUGAGCAGGUUGAAAGUUGGGUAACACCAACCGGAGGACCGAACCAGUUGACGUUGAAAAGUCUUUGGAUGACUUGUGGUAAGGGGUGAAAGGCCAACCAAAUUCGUAGAUAGCUGGUUUUCCGCGAAAACUAUUUAGGUAGUGCGUUGAAUAAAUAGAUGUUUAGAGGUAGAGCACUAAAUGGGCUAGGGGGAAGAGAUUCUUACCAAACCUAAUAAAACUCCGAAUGCUAGACAUUGUUCUUCAACAGACAGACUGUGGGUGCUAAGGUCCAUGGUCGAGAGGGAAAGAGCCCAGACCACCAGAUAAGGUCCCAAAAUUAUGAUUAAGUGUGAAAGGAUGUGGAAAUUCCUUAACAGCCGGGAGGUUGGCUUAGAAGCAGCCAUCCUUUAAAGAUAGCGUAACAGCUCACCGGUCUAAUAGAGUUUCUGCGCCGAAGAUGUAACGGGGCUAAAAUCAUAUACCGAAUCUGUGGGUUUAUAAAACUUUCGAGUUUUAUAAGCGGUAGCGGAACGUUCUGUAAGCCUGUGAAGGGAUACCCGUGAGGGAUCCUGGAGGUAUCAGAAGUGCGAAUGCUGACAUAAGUAACGAUAAAAGAAGUGAAAAACUUCUUCGCCGAAAAUCCAAGGGUUUCUGCGCAAGGUUAAUCCGCGCAGAGUUAGUCGGCACCUAAGGCGAGGGCGAAAGCCGUAGUCGAUGGAAAUAAGGUUAAUAUUCCUUAACCAGAUGGUAGUGACGGAUCUUGUAAGUUGUGUACUCUUAAUGGAUUGAGUAUGCCGCGAAAAGGUUCCAAGAAAUAGCUCCAUCAUUAGACCGUACCCUAAACCGACACAGGUGGAUUAAUAGAGUAUAUUUAGGCGCUUGAGAGAAUGAUGUUGAAGGAACUCGGCAAAAUGCUUCCGUAACUUCGGGAUAAGGAAGACCUGUUUUUAGGCAACUAGAGAUGGGUGGCACAAGCCAGGGAGAAGCGACUGUUUAUCAAAAACACAGGGCUCUGCUAACACGUAAGUGGAUGUAUAGGGUCUGACGCCUGCCCGGUGCUGGAAGGUUAAUGCGGUUGGUGCAAGCUAACUUCUGAAGCCCCAGUAAACGGCGGCCGUAACUAUAACGGUCCUAAGGUAGCGAAAUUCCUUGUCGGGUAAGUUCCGACCUGCAUGAAUGGCGUAACGAUUUCUCCGCUGUCUCCAACAUCAACUCAGUGAAAUUGAAUUCUCCGUGAAGAUGCGGAGUUCGCGUAGUUAGACGGAAAGACCCCGUGCACCUUUACUGCAACUUUACAUUGGUAUUAGGAAAAACAUAUUUAGUAUAGGAGGGAGACAUUGAAGCAAAGGCGUCAGCUUUUGUGGAGUCACCAGUGAAAUACCUCUUUUGUUUUUCUUGGUAUCUAACUGAUUGCCGUCAUCCGGCAUCAAGACAUUGUAUGGUGGGUAGUUUGACUGGGGCGGUCGCCUCCCAAAUAGUAACGGAGGCGUGCGAAGGUAGGCUCAGAACGGUCAGAAAUCGUUCGUAGAGUGCAAUGGCAUAA
rnacentral:rRNA from 1 species